UGUAACCGGUGGUGGAUUCGAAUGCUUCCCAAAGGUAUUAUACCAUCAUUUCAUCUGUGUACAUUGUUGAUCCACCCUUCUUUGUUUCUGUAUGACCUACAACACGUAGCACACUAAGUUGGACUAUAUUCUAUGUUAGAAUGUAAAAGAAGUAUCCAUUUUGCGCUCUUUGAAUCCUUGGAAUACUCAUUUGAACAUUCGUAUCAUUUUAAAACAGUAAUAGGUACAAGUUGAAGUCAGAAAACCUAGGUAGAAAUCGCAUGCUUGAAUUCUUUAAUACAACUUUUCUCCUGAUAUGAAGGGGUUUGUUCUUGUCUUUGACUUUUGCCUUUUUUUUCCUCUUCGCGGCAUCAUAAAUUAACAAAAAAGAGAACUUUAGUUAGCAUAAAGUUGCUGUUUAGGAAUUUGGGAAUGUAGGAAGAGGAAAGGAAACACAGUACUGAGCCUAAGCUAAUCAAACUGCUACCCCAGAUUUUGUAAUCAGAGUAUCUUGAAGUCAAAGUUUGAUGGCGCUAGCCAAGCUGCCCAGUCUGACUCACACAAGAGUUUGAAAAGGUCAAAGUCAAAAUUUGCGCGUAGAUCAUGAAGCUGAAAUCCUUUUAGGUAAAGGAUAAAAAUUUGAGGGAACAGAUUUGGUUGGGAGGGAGUUGUUGAUUGAGAUGGGUGGUGUGUGGUGGGUGGGCCAGCAACAAAAACCAACAAUUCUUUCAUUAACAUUAAGAACGUGUAUGGCUGUGGUUCCUUUCUCUUGCCUUUAUCCUCACACGUUUGUGACUAUUAUAAUGCCUACGUUUUCCUUCUUCUAUCUUCAAUUUCCACAUUUUGCUCGUGUUACCUCCAACAAAAAAAUCGGCUGGCUGCAACUAUUGAGAGAUGAAAGUUGCUAAUGAUUCUGAAGAAUGAUCCAACCUCUCUGAUCUAUACAAUAGUAGUCAAGUUGUUCUAGUACCCAGUAUGAAUCACACUUUUUGUUCAUUAAUCAGUAGUUUGUUGUUUUUACAUCGAAGAGUACAUUUAGUACCAAGUAAAUAAGCAAGGCAAAGCAUUAACAUACAAUUAUACCAAAUCGUAUAGUUUUUAAAUACACCUGACAUGCACAAUUUAGAAGACAAUUAUUGCGAGGUCAUGAAACACUGUAUAUCCUUGAAGUUUCAUCAAGGAUUGAUAUCAAGAUGCUGACUUACUCUUCAUUUUUGAUGUAGCUUGAUCGUCGAACAAUGUCAGUUGCUCUCCGAUUCAUGAAGGCAAAGACGCCCGAGCAAAGAGCUGCUGUCGAUCUGGACACCCAUUACACCAAGGUAUAAGCACAAUACAAAAUUGCAGCUAAAAACUGUUCACUGGCAUUUACGUUCUCUGUUUCUCUGCAAUGAGGAUAAAAUCGUUUUGACUCGAAACUGAAAACGAAUUUGUGUGUUUGCAGGAAUAUCUAGACGAAAUUGUUGGCUCUACUACUAGGCGGCAGAUUUUGUAUCAAGUAAGACCAUCAGCAUACCCUCAUGGCAAUUGUCUCGGGUCUUGCCUCUGUACCUUGUUUCUUCACUUCCUCACCUGGUUUUUGCCUGAUUUUUAAAAGCAUAUUUAAAGAAAAUUACACUAUACAAGUGGUCUCGAUUUCAUGUGGUGUGACCUAAAAAUAUGAAUGAUUAAUUCUAAUAACUUUUUUUAAACGGAUGUCGGAUGCUGCUUCUCACAGGAUUAUGUGAAAGGUAUAUCAUCGACUGGGAUGCAGUGCAAAUAUGGGUUUGACGGUCAAAUUAAUGCAUGUUGGACGCAUAAGGUGACGAGAUCCGAUAUAGAAUCAAUCCGCAGUGGGGGUUUUCUUGUAUCAGUCAUUCACGGCAGGUAAACUGAUUCUCCCUAAACCAAUUCUAAAACUGGUACUUUUGUUGGGUUCUUUGUGCAGAUAACUAUUUGUUGCAUGCUGUACCUGCUGAUUACUAAUUUGAUGAGGGUUUAAUCAUCGUUUCUUGAAUUGUGGCCUUACAGCUAUAGCUUUAUGCAAGAAACAAGCCUAAACAAAUACCAACUAGUUACAUUUGACUAGCAUUGGUAUUUUGUAGAAAUUUUGAUUAUGGACACUCAGCAGGGUACUGCCCAUUUUAGGUUACUCAGUUACUCUUCACUUAACCAAAAAACAGUACCAUUUUGCACAUGAAUUAUGUGUCCUGCGCUUUAUUUUGCUUCAGUGGAUAGCUCUUAGUGUCGGUUUUUGUGUGUGUUUCAGUGUUUGUGUCGAGCAUUUCAUAACCGUUUACUAGUGAGUAAAAAUUCUCCUACUUUCUGUGUCAAUUUGUACCUGUUUGGAGUUAAUUUGGGAAGCUCUGAAUGAUGAUCCAGGUAUGACAUCAUUGCACAAAUAUAUUAUGCAAGGAGACUAGCUGAGAAGCUGCAGCCUGCCUCUAGAAUGGUAGAUCUCCAUGGUGGCCAUCUAGUGAGUCACGAGAGAACCGAAGAGGUAAAGCCUGACCAAUUAGACUCGAUUUGUCUGCAAAGCAAAAGUUACGUUAUUAACAUAUAAUGAAGGCAUUGCUUUUGUACCAUAACUAACCACAAUCAUAAUUUUUUUGGCAGGUGAAUCAAGCUCUUAAAGACUUGAUAAAGGCUUCAGAAGCAGGAACUAGUCCACAUGAUUGGACAAACAUAGUCCAGGAGAGUUCCUCCGGUUGGCUGCUAGGGAGGAUAACAUCAACUGAGGGAAAAAGUAAAGGUUGUGUCGAUCCCGGGUCUUCAUCUGGAGUGUUUACGAGACUAUAUCCAUGCUUUGUAUAUUUACUGAGUCUGUUUGCGUUGGUAUUUGAAUUCUUGACAAAAGCUCAUAGAAGGAUAAGACCAGCCAAGGUGGGACCUUCCCUCACGUAAAGGGCUUUAGCACAAAGCUAAAGAGAACCACUCCUCGCAUGGUAAGGUGACAAAACGCCUAGCUGGCUCAGACUCUUUGAACGGCAGUAUAAUCUGAAUGCAACUAAUGGAGUAGUACGUUGAUUCAUGCAGGAGGGAUGAAUUUCAGCAGCGUUUGUUUAUUUACACAGCCGUCUGGAAGGAAUCAUCGGUAGAGAGCGUUGAUCGGAAGCUGUGGUCUGGUGUGGUGAAAGGCAAAUAUCAGAGCCCUGAAUCUGACUAGUCCCUCCGCUUGGUUCAUAGACCUUCCACACGCCUGUUAACUGAGAGAAGUCUACUUUAUCGUAGAGACACUUGCACCGCAAAGGGAAACAGAGAGAGAGAGUUGGAAAUUGAAAUUUGUAUAGAGAUUGAAAUGUGUAGCUUUGUGAUAUCGCCAAAUAUGUAUUUGAAACAUAUGUAUUCCGGCAAAAGUUGUUAUACUACCAAACUUAAACUACAAACAUCUAUCUUGGUCAAUUGAGUUGUUACAUGACGUCACCUAUAUUUCCCCACGAUUGGAUUCCUGAAGGAACCACAGACAGAAGAUAAUAACUUGAUUUGGCCGGUGGAAAGGAAAAUUUAAACUCCGUCUAACUUUUCAUCUGUCAAACCAAAUUAGUAUCAUAAUAUUUUGACUAUAUCGGCAAUCGAACCGGUAAAACUAAUAAUAUGAAGUUCGAUUGUAUAAACGGUUUGAAUCAUGUGCAGUUAUGAUGAGUGGUUCAUGGCUAACCACCAGUACCGUAAAGUUCUUUGUAGACUUGUAGCUAUCGGAAGAUUGAAAAAUUAUCUUAACAAUGGUGAGCUGCUAUUUUUCUUAUAUUUAAAAGAGUAUGUAGAUAAACAGAAAAAAAAUUAUCUGAACAAUGGAAAUGCCAACACAGUGUCAGAGUAUCAGUAUGCAGAUGGCUUGAUAUGCUACUAAAACGUUGUCUGUUGAGGAUUCAAUAUCUUUUUUGUUAUAAAGGUUGAAGAUUCAAAUUUGAAUGAAAAGGAUAAUCAGUAUUCAGUACUCACAAACAAAUAUCGAGUUCCUUCCAAAAAGAAAACAUGGAGCCUUCCGCAUCACGUAAGUAAGAAUUAGCAGCUAGAACAAAGCUGAGAAACUUUGCUGUUCGUCAAACCAAUGCACGAAGAAUUCAUUCUGGUUUGUUUUCCAAUUCAAAAUCAAAAUUGAUAGAGAGAAGGGGGAGGGAGUCAUACCAUUCAUUGGAGCAGAUGAGACAGAGCUUGGCCGUUAUAAGCUUCUCCAGCGUCCAUUCCUUUGGGUGUCUACCUGAGUUUCUGGAUUUGCAGAGCACCAGCAACGAGCAGUGUUCUCGGAUAAGAACACUGGUUCAGGCAUGUCUAUUUAUUUAUAUAAUUAUUGAAGGGAGGAGAGGAAUCUUGUUGGGUAAUAUUCCUUAAUUCCUUC
rnacentral:lncRNA from 1 species